rnacentral:rRNA from 1 species
CAGCCGCCGCGGGAAUACAGAGGAUGCAAGCGUUAUCCGGAAUGAUUGGGCGUAAAGCGUCUGUAGGUGGCUUUUCAAGUCCGCCGUCAAAUCCCAGGGCUCAACCCUGGACAGGCGGUGGAAACUACCAAGCUGGAGUACGGUAGGGGCAGAGGGAAUUUCCAGUGGAGCGGUGAAAUGCGUUGAGAUCGAAAAGAACACCAACAGCGAAAGCACUCUGCUGGGACGACACUGACACUAAGAGACGAAAGCUAGGGGAGCAAAUGGGAUUAGAUACCCGCGUAGUCCCUGUCUCUUAUAC